UGCUGGAGGUGACUUUGCUCUCCUUGCAUCAUAUCAAUUGGUCAUGUGACGUAAGGGGAGAAGGUCCGUGACUGCAGCGGUGUCAAAAUGGAUGUUGAAAGCGGUGGACCCAGAAAAGCAGCCGAGGCUGGGGAGAGAAGGAGCUGGGACACAGUGCUGGGGAGCAGAGAUGAAGACUUCUUGAGGGAUGGUUUGGCCUGAGAUCCAUUCUGAACACCAUCAGGAGCCUUUUUCUUGGCUGAAGUUUUUGAAUUAAAAAGUUGGAUUCUUGCUGCCACUAAACCAGCGGAGACCACCAUCUCAACUUCACUGUUGGAUCCAGGAAAUGCUUUUUUCACGGACUGUUUCACACUGCUAUAACCAGCUAUAACGAGAAUGCGAUGGCGG